GAUGAACGCUGGCGGCGUGCCUAAUACAUGCAAGUCGAGCGAACAGACGAGGAGCUUGCUCCUCUGACGUUAGCGGCGGACGGGGGAGUAACACGUGGAUAACCUACCUAUAAGACUGGGAAAACUUCGGGAAACCGGAGCUAAUACCGGAUAAUAUAUUGAACCGCAUGGUUCAAUAGUGAAAGACGGUUUUGCUGUCACUUAUAGAUGGAUCCGCGCCGCAUUAGCUAGUUGGUAAGGUAACGGCUUACCAAGGCAACGAUGCGUAGCCGACCUGAGAGGGUGAUCGGCCACACUGGAACUGAGACACGGUCCAGACUCCUACGGGAGGCAGCAGUAGGGAAUCUUCCGCAAUGGGCGAAAGCCUGACGGAGCAACGCCGCGUGAGUGAUGAAGGUCUUCGGAUCGUAAAACUCUGUUAUUAGGGAAGAACAAAUGUGUAAGUAACUAUGCACGUCUUGACGGUACCUAAUCAGAAAGCCACGGCUAACUACGUG
rnacentral:rRNA from 1 species